rnacentral:rRNA from 1 species
UACGUAGGGCGCAAGCGUUGUCCGGAAUUAUUGGGCGUAAAGAGCUCGUAGGCGGCUUGUCGCGUCGAUUGUGAAAGCCCGGGGCUUAACCUCGGGUCUGCAGUCGAUACGGGCUGGCUAGAGUGUGGUAGGGGAGAUCGGAAUUCCUGGUGUAGCGGUGAAAUGCGCAGAUAUCAGGAGGAACACCGGUGGCGAAGGCGGAUCUCUGGGCCAUUACUGACGCUGAGGUGCGAAAGCCAGGGGAGCAAACGGG